UACGGGGGGGGCAAGCGUUGUUCGGAAUUACUGGGCGUAAAGGGUUUUUAGGUGGCUUGUUAAGUCAGACGUGAAAUCCCUCAGCUUAACUGGGGAACUGCGUCUGAUACUGGCGAGCUUGAGUGCAGGAGAGGAACGCGGAAUUCCAGGUGUAGCGGUGAAAUGCGUAGAUAUCUGGAGGAACACCGGUGGCGAAGGCGGCGUUCUGGACUGCAACUGACACUGAGAAACGAAAGCCAGGGUAGCAAACGGG
rnacentral:rRNA from 1 species